rnacentral:rRNA from 1 species
UACGUAGGGCGCAAGCGUUGUCCGGAAUUAUUGGGCGUAAAGAGCUCGUAGGCGGCUUGUCACGUCGGGGUGUGAAAGCCCGGGGCUUAACCCCGGGUCUGCAUUCGAUACGGGCUAGCUAGAGUGUGGUAGGGGAGAUCGGAAUUCCUGGUGUAGCGGUGAAAUGCGCAGAUAUCAGGAGGAACACCGGUGGCGAAGGCGGAUCUCUGGGCCAUUACUGACGUGAGGAGCGAAAAGCGUGGGGGAGCGAACAGG